AGUUUCUGUGAACUGUGCAAGGUGCUCCUGGAACGUGUGCAUGGAUGCCUACCACAGUGCUUGGGGGAUUUAAAGAAGUGGUUACCUCUUUCAGAAUUAAUGGAUUGGCUUCAGUUGGGAAAGCUGCGCUCACCUGUUGGUGAGCAUGAGGACAUCAACUGGAUGAAGUAUAUGGCUGAACCAAGUCUGAGGACAGGGCAAAAUUGUGGCUAAAGAGUUUCCUCUUGGCGACCUGUUGGUCUGAAGUUUAAACUCGGUUCCUGGAUGUUGGUUGUAAUGGCUGUUGAAACUGGAAAAGACCCUCACAAAGACCUGCAAUGCAGAGGGAAGAUGUCACUUCCAGUUGCAUCCACCAAUUAUGCAAAGGAGGGAAACAGACAACUGUUGCAUUCCUGUCCACAGAGCCUC
rnacentral:lncRNA from 1 species